rnacentral:lncRNA from 1 species
CAGCAGGCAAUGACAGAGACAGGAGACGAAAAACACAGCCAAUGAAUCAGACCUUACAACUGAGAAAACAGAAAUCUGGCUAUGUCAUCCAAAUCAUUCCACUGGACCCUGCUGCCUCUCAGAAUUCAGUAACACAGGUAUU